AGAAGAGGCAGAAAAUGGCAGGUGUAGGGGAGGUGGGGGCCGAGGCUGCAACAGAUUCACAGGAGCCUGCUGGUCCUACUGUAUGCAGCUCUCCUCCCCCAUUGUCUCCAAGCACUUGGAGAAUUUUGCAUGCAGCAGAAUGACAAGCCCAGAGGUUGUAGUGGCCCCCUCACCAGCAGAGUUUAAGACUGCAGGGAAAACAGCUGGAUGGGGAGGAGACUUAGGGGGAAGUGGGAAGCCCAGAUCAUCAGUUCUGGCAACUUCUUCAGUGGGGCCAGUCUCGUGUAGGAUUUUCUUGUUUGUAUUCUGUUUCCUUGAAUAAAGAACCAAUUUUACUGCUCAGCUCUGAGUCUCCGUACUGACCUGCAGCUGAACCAGCCCUGACAUUGCAUUUUAAAAACUUUCCGUACUCUUACUUUUUCUAAGGAUUAGCACACAUAUUUGUGCAGAAUAUUUCUGGAUUGUGUUUUUCUGAUAUAUUAUGCUAAUUGAAAAUCUAGCUACACAAAACUUGAAAGCUGAUCAUGUUACACAGCACCAUAAUAAUGUUCUCUGAUAUUAAAAAUAAUACCUUUUAUGUGAUUUGGCAGGAUUUUAUAGCUGCAACACAGAAAUUAUGCCUGGUAUAAAUAACUGGACUUCUGAUAUACAGAUGUUCACGUCAGUGAGAGUCUCCAGACUUAAUAAUGUUACCCUAACAAACCAAACACUCAACAAGACCUUUAAUGAUCUCUGUGAGAAUCUGCUCAAGAGCCUGUAUUUUAAACUUCGAUCUA